rnacentral:lncRNA from 1 species
GCGCUUGUUGAGCGGGAGGGCAUCCAAGGAGGUCCAGAGGUUGGGGAUGCAGAUAAGGGGGUGCUGGCGGCGGCGCUUGUUCAACUGUCAACGACGAGGCCGACGUGAGGAGCAAGCGGCGAGGACGACGACCUGACAUGCGGACUGGCCAGCUCCCAGGCUCCUCUGCCGCUCCUUCCCCCCCAUCGGCCAGGAACAGCAGCUUGAGGUCUGGAGGUACGCUACCUCAUUCUCAUCUCUUUCCUUUCUUGCUUUCUCACUUUGGCUUCUACAGAAUUGAAUCUCACCUUAAUGUUGAGAUGUUGAAUCUCACUUUGGCCUGCAGAUUGAUUUGAAUCAAGAAUUUGUACAGUUGCUUGAUGAAGGUAGAGGUAAUUAGGAUACGGUUCAGUCUGGUUUAGUGUGUUCUCUGUUUCGUAGUUGAUCUGGGAGAUGCUGCACUAAUUUCUUUGGACCCAUUUUGUAAAUGCAGGUUGUUUUCUUGGAACUCUGUCAAAGCAGGGUUACCAUUCUGGAGCCACAACACCUUCAGGUAUGAACAUUCGACAUGUGUUAGAAACUACAGGAAGAAAAUGCUCCUAUAAUCAUCAUUGGCUCGUCAAAAUUAACUUGUGAUAUUGAAAUUGAAUUAUCAGGAAGCACUAUAAGAAUUUGAGUCCGUUGUGCUUUGAUCUUUAUCUAUUGUUCUCUCUAGUGGUGAAGAAAACCACUUAAGAUGGCGCUGGAGCUCACAGAAUUAAUCUCAAUAUGAAACUCUCUGGUGGAUUUAUCUAAUAAUAUAUUUGGGUAAGAAAAUAUGUGCAAAGUUUUCCCAAGAGAUAUCUCUUUAACAAUUUGGACUGGAUGACACUUGUGAAGUUCGCCCAAUAUAACGUUGUUCUAAAAUUGUUGGUAAAUGAAACUUUGUUCAGAAUUUAACAUACUUAAGUUGGUUGAAAAAAAGGCCUUCAAGCUGUGGAUGUGGCAUUUGUACAUUCUCAUGGACACCAAUCUUGCCAAGUACUGUUAGAUAAAAUCACAUUGGUUUAUCUUCACCGGACUAUAAAUCAUUUUAAGUUUACUUGCGCUUGCUCAUGCAUGAGCAGUGCUUCUCUUGGUAUAUUGUUUUUACAGAUCCUUCAUUAAGUGCAAGUAUUUAAUCUUUGUCCUAUAAUGUUAUACCUAUUUUAUCAUUGAAACCGUACCUUUUAAAUUAUUCCAGAUGUAAUCUCCAGUUUGGAGUAAACUAUUAUAGACUGAUGAAACUGAGCUGAAAUGAUUAUUCCAAAAUCUUGUUCAGGGCGAACCAAUUGAAUUUAGUGAAGCGAGAGCUGGUGAGCGAAUCAGGCAGUGGAGCAGCCCUGCGCCACUUGAGAUCUACGCAUGGGAUCGAGACCAACUAGCACUGCGAUGGCCUACUCAACAAAACGUGUGAGAUCUCAGUUGGUACUCUGCCUUACACGGUCACAACGGUAUGGAAGUGUAGGUAGAUUUUAAAUACAUGAGAACCUUACUUUCCUGCAAACGGAUAUAGUAUCCUCUCAUUUAUGCAUCUCAAUCAAUGAAUGUCCUGACAGCU